rnacentral:rRNA from 1 species
UUAAGCGACUAAGCGUACACGGUGGAUGCCCUGGCAGUCAGAGGCGAUGAAGGACGUGCUAAUCUGCGAUAAGCGUCGGUAAGGUGAUAUGAACCGUUAUAACCGGCGAUUUCCGAAUGGGGAAACCCAGUGUGAUUCGUCACACUAUCAUUAACUGAAUCCAUAGGUUAAUGAGGCGAACCGGGGGAACUGAAACAUCUAAGUACCCCGAGGAAAAGAAAUCAACCGAGAUUCCCCCAGUAGCGGCGAGCGAACGGGGAGCAGCCCAGAGCCUGAAUCAGUGUGUGUGUUAGUGGAAGCGUCUGGAAAGGCGCGCGAUACAGGGUGACAGCCCCGUACACAAAAAUGCACAUACUGUGAGCUCGAUGAGUAGGGCGGGACACGUGGUAUCCUGUCUGAAUAUGGGGGGACCAUCCUCCAAGGCUAAAUACUCCUGACUGACCGAUAGUGAACCAGUACCGUGAGGGAAAGGCGAAAAGAACCCCGGCGAGGGGAGUGAAAAAGAACCUGAAACCGUGUACGUACAAGCAGUGGGAGCACGCUUAGGCGUGUGACUGCGUACCUUUUGUAUAAUGGGUCAGCGACUUAUAUUCUGUAGCAAGGUUAACCGAAUAGGGGAGCCGAAGGGAAACCGAGUCUUAACUGGGCGUUAAGUUGCAGGGUAUAGACCCGAAACCCGGUGAUCUAGCCAUGGGCAGGUUGAAGGUUGGGUAACACUAACUGGAGGACCGAACCGACUAAUGUUGAAAAAUUAGCGGAUGACUUGUGGCUGGGGGUGAAAGGCCAAUCAAACCGGGAGAUAGCUGGUUCUCCCCGAAAGCUAUUUAGGUAGCGCCUCGUGAAUUCAUCUCCGGGGGUAGAGCACUGUUUCGGCAAGGGGGUCAUCCCGACUUACCAACCCGAUGCAAACUGCGAAUACCGGAGAAUGUUAUCACGGGAGACACACGGCGGGUGCUAACGUCCGUCGUGAAGAGGGAAACAACCCAGACCGCCAGCUAAGGUCCCAAAGUCAUGGUUAAGUGGGAAACGAUGUGGGAAGGCCCAGACAGCCAGGAUGUUGGCUUAGAAGCAGCCAUCAUUUAAAGAAAGCGUAAUAGCUCACUGGUCGAGUCGGCCUGCGCGGAAGAUGUAACGGGGCUAAACCAUGCACCGAAGCUGCGGCAGCGACGCUUAUGCGUUGUUGGGUAGGGGAGCGUUCUGUAAGCCUGCGAAGGUGUGCUGUGAGGCAUGCUGGAGGUAUCAGAAGUGCGAAUGCUGACAUAAGUAACGAUAAAGCGGGUGAAAAGCCCGCUCGCCGGAAGACCAAGGGUUCCUGUCCAACGUUAAUCGGGGCAGGGUGAGUCGACCCCUAAGGCGAGGCCGAAAGGCGUAGUCGAUGGGAAACAGGUUAAUAUUCCUGUACUUGGUGUUACUGCGAAGGGGGGACGGAGAAGGCUAUGUUGGCCGGGCGACGGUUGUCCCGGUUUAAGCGUGUAGGCUGGUUUUCCAGGCAAAUCCGGAAAAUCAAGGCUGAGGCGUGAUGACGAGGCACUACGGUGCUGAAGCAACAAAUGCCCUGCUUCCAGGAAAAGCCUCUAAGCAUCAGGUAACAUCAAAUCGUACCCCAAACCGACACAGGUGGUCAGGUAGAGAAUACCAAGGCGCUUGAGAGAACUCGGGUGAAGGAACUAGGCAAAAUGGUGCCGUAACUUCGGGAGAAGGCACGCUGAUAUGUAGGUGAAGUCCCUCGCGGAUGGAGCUGAAAUCAGUCGAAGAUACCAGCUGGCUGCAACUGUUUAUUAAAAACACAGCACUGUGCAAACACGAAAGUGGACGUAUACGGUGUGACGCCUGCCCGGUGCCGGAAGGUUAAUUGAUGGGGUCAGCGCAAGCGAAGCUCUUGAUCGAAGCCCCGGUAAACGGCGGCCGUAACUAUAACGGUCCUAAGGUAGCGAAAUUCCUUGUCGGGUAAGUUCCGACCUGCACGAAUGGCGUAAUGAUGGCCAGGCUGUCUCCACCCGAGACUCAGUGAAAUUGAACUCGCUGUGAAGAUGCAGUGUACCCGCGGCAAGACGGAAAGACCCCGUGAACCUUUACUAUAGCUUGACACUGAACAUUGAGCCUUGAUGUGUAGGAUAGGUGGGAGGCUUUGAAGUGUGGACGCCAGUCUGCAUGGAGCCGACCUUGAAAUACCACCCUUUAAUGUUUGAUGUUCUAACGUUGACCCGUAAUCCGGGUUGCGGACAGUGUCUGGUGGGUAGUUUGACUGGGGCGGUCUCCUCCUAAAGAGUAACGGAGGAGCACGAAGGUUGGCUAAUCCUGGUCGGACAUCAGGAGGUUAGUGCAAUGGCAUAAGCCAGCUUGACUGCGAGCGUGACGGCGCGAGCAGGUGCGAAAGCAGGUCAUAGUGAUCCGGUGGUUCUGAAUGGAAGGGCCAUCGCUCAACGGAUAAAAGGUACUCCGGGGAUAACAGGCUGAUACCGCCCAAGAGUUCAUAUCGACGGCGGUGUUUGGCACCUCGAUGUCGGCUCAUCACAUCCUGGGGCUGAAGUAGGUCCCAAGGGUAUGGCUGUUCGCCAUUUAAAGUGGUACGCGAGCUGGGUUUAGAACGUCGUGAGACAGUUCGGUCCCUAUCUGCCGUGGGCGCUGGAGAACUGAGGGGGGCUGCUCCUAGUACGAGAGGACCGGAGUGGACGCAUCACUGGUGUUCGGGUUGUCAUGCCAAUGGCACUGCCCGGUAGCUAAAUGCGGAAGAGAUAAGUGCUGAAAGCAUCUAAGCACGAAACUUGCCCCGAGAUGAGUUCUCCCUGACUCCUUGAGAGUCCUGAAGGAACGUUGAAGACGACGACGUUGAUAGGCCGGGUGUGUAAGCGCAGCGAUGCGUUGAGCUAACCGGUACUAAUGAACCGUGAGGCUUAACCUU